UACGUAGGUGGCGAGCGUUAUUCGGAUUCAUUGGGCGUAAAGGGUCCGCAGGGGGUUUGGUAAGUUUGAUGUGAAAUGCCAGGGCUCAACCUUGGACAUGCAUUGAAAACUGCCAGACUAGAGUGCAGGAGAGGAGAGUGGAAUACCAGGUGUAGCGGUGGAAUGCGUAGAUAUCUGGUAGAACACCGAUGGCGAAGGCAGCUCUCUGGACUGCUACUGACCCUCAUGGACGAAAGCCGGGGGAGCGAAC
rnacentral:rRNA from 1 species